rnacentral:rRNA from 1 species
GACGAACGCUGGCGGCGUGCUUAACACAUGCAAGUCGAACGAAGAGCGAUGGAAGCUUGCUUCUAUCAAUCUUAGUGGCGAACGGGUGAGUAACGCGUAAUCAACCUGCCCUUCAGAGGGGGACAACAGUUGGAAACGACUGCUAAUACCGCAUACGAUCUAACCUCGGCAUCGAGGAUAGAUGAAAGGUGGCCUCUACAUGUAAGCUAUCACUGCAGGAGGGGAUUGCGUCUGAUUAGCUAGUUGGAUGGGUAACGGCCCACCAAGGCGAUGAUGAGUAGCCGGUCUGAGAGGAUGAACGGCCACAUUGGGACUGAGACACGGCCCAGACUUCUACGGGAGGCAGCAGUGGGGAAUCUUCCGCAAUGGACGAAAGUCUGACGGAGCAACGCCGCGUGAGUGAUGACGGCCUUCGGGUUGUAAAGCUCUGUUAAUCGGGACGAAAGGCCUUCUUGCGAAUAGGGAGAAGGAUUGACGGUACCGGAAUAGAAAGCCACGGCUAACUACGUG